CAAUCUGUUACUUCCAACACAAACUAUGGGUUUUAAACAGUAUGUAACAGGGUUACUCGCUAAGGUGAGAAUUGUCGGAAAUUUCAGGUGAAUAUAUAAUGCCAAACAUUCAAUUUGAAAGUCACUUGGCAUUCCUGACAAUGCUCACCUUGGUGGAUAACGAUGUAUGUAUGAACUUUUCAGAUUUAUUUUUUUGCCUCAAUGUAGCAGCAUAAAGGGACAAAUGUUUUACUUAAUUUGUGUGUACCCUUAUUUAGUGUCACCAGGACCAUCACAGCUAGUUCCCUAUGGCUGUCAUACUAUUGCUCUUUCAAUAGUUGGGUAGCUUAACAUUUAAGAUGUACAUUAGUAGUUUAAAUUCAAUGCAGACGACAUCAUUUAACUACCCUGAGCCAUGUUCCAAAUGUUGCUCUAAUUAGAUUUAUUGUAGGCUGCUUAACACUAGGUUUGAAUUAAGUGCUG